ensembl:lncRNA
UAAAUAUUGAUUUGACAGUGACAGCCAUAUCAUUAAUAUCGGUGUGCCAGGGGUGUAAAACAACUCCAAAACACUUGAAGCGGCACUUGACUCUUAUCCGCUAACAGCCGCUGCUCAGUUACAACAUCUCAAAACACAAAAUCUCUGAUGUUGUAGAGAAGGACUUCAGUGAACCACUUGGCUGCCUGUCUGCUGUCAGUAGAGAGGGUGGAAAAUAAGAUGGCAUCUUGUAAAAGAACGGAGCCAUGUUGCCUCGUCCCUGCUGACUGAAGAGACACACUGCUGAUUAGGGAGGAGAGAACGACAAGAGGGGGCGAGAGACAAGAGUUUGAGCAGAGG